GACGAACGCUGGCGGCGUGCUUAACACAUGCAAGUCGAACGGAAAGGCCCCUUUUGGGGUACUCGAGUGGCGAGCGGGUGAGUAACACGUGCGUAACCUACCCUUGACUUCGGGAUAACUUCAGUAAACUGAGGCUAAUACCGGCCAGGAAUCCUUGCUGCAUGGUGGGGGUUGGAAAGCUUCGGCGGUUUUGGAUGGACUGGCGGCUUGUCUGCUGGUUGGUGGGGUAGUGGCUUACCAAGGCUUUGACGGGUAGCUGGCCUGGGAGGGCGACCGGCCACAUGGGGAUGGAGAUACGGCCCAGACCCCUAGGGGAGGAAGCAGUGGGGAAUAUUGCACAAUGGGCGGAGGCUGAAGGCAGCAACGCCGGGGGGGGGAUGACGGCCUUCGGGUUGUAAACCGCUUUCAGCAGGAGGGAAGCUGUUGUGACGGUACCUGCAGAAGAAGCACCGGCUAACUACGG
rnacentral:rRNA from 1 species